UGAUAAGUCAUUAUUCAGCGUCUUCAUC
rnacentral:sRNA from 1 species